UCCGCGGCGCUCAGCCCCAGCCUCGCCGCCGCCGCCUUGGAUAGCCGGGGCACGUACGCCUAGAUUAGGGUGGGGGAUGUUCGGGAUGCGAGCGAGCGGCGCGGGGAUGGGCACCUGUACGACGACCCGGAUGCCGUCGCCAUCCUGGCGCUCCUCGACUCCCCGCUUCGACGGCGAUAAGUCGACGCGCUCAAGCAUCGCGCAUGGCGUCUACGCUGACCACGUCUCCCGGCAGGUGGUCAGGAACGUCUCGCGUAGUCGCUUGAGGUGAAGAAGCUCGUCUAACUCUACCUGCUCCACUACGCCAAGAAAAAUGUUAUUUUCAGGAAGAUUCAAGGGAUUCGAGUAGUGACCAGAAGCAUUGAAGAUUUUGCUAAGCAAG